rnacentral:tRNA from 3 species
GGGCGUAUGGUCUAGAGGUAUGAUACCUGCUUUGGGUCUAGCUGGCCAAUUGCAGGGGGUCUUCGGUUCGAAUCCGGAUUCGCCCC